rnacentral:rRNA from 1 species
CCUACGGGUGGCAGCAGUGAGGAAUAUUGGUCAAUGGGCGGAAGCCUGAACCAGCCAAGUAGCGUGCAGGAUGACGGCCCUACGGGUUGUAAACUGCUUUUAUACGGGAAUAACGCGCCUUACGUGUAGGGCUUUGCAUGUACAGUAUGAAUAAGGACCGGCUAAUUCCGUGCCAGCAGCCGCGGGAAUCCGGAAGGUCCGGGCGUUAUCCGGAUUGAUUGGGUUUAAAGGGAGCGUAGGCCGCAUGUCAAGCGUGCUGUGAAAUGUCCGGGCUCAACCCGGGCCUUGCAGCGCGAACUGGCGUGCUAGAGUCCGCGGAAGGCAGGCGGAAUUCGUGGUGUAGCGGUGAAAUGCUUAGAGAUGGCGAAGAACCCCGAUUGCGAAGGCAGCUUGCUGCAGCGGAACUGACGCUGAUGCUCGAAAGCGCGGGUAUCGAACAGGAUUAGAUACCCCGGUAGUC